ACUUUGAAAAGAGAGUUAAAAAGGGCCUGAAACUGGUAAGAGGGAACCGAACGGCAGAAGUGGUGAUGGGCGCGUAUUUUCCGCCGGGCUCUUGGCCGGCGUACUUGUGCGCGUCCGUAGGUCAGCGUGGGUUGGGGCGUGGGAGUCGUUCAUGGGAAGGUCUUCGGGCCAAUCUCGUGUUCAGGCCGCGCCUGAGACCUUCGGUGACGAAAUUCUUCCGUUCACCCCGUCUUGUAACACGGACCAA
rnacentral:rRNA from 1 species